rnacentral:rRNA from 1 species
GACGAGCCACCCGAACGUUAUUCGGAAUUACUGGGCUUAAAGGGUGCGUAGGCGGUGCAGCAAGUCGGGAGUGAAAUCCCUCAGCUUAACUGAGGAACUGCUUUCGAUACUGCUGUGCUUGAGUGAGACAGAGGUAAGCGGAACUUAGGGUGGAGCGGUGAAAUGCGUUGAUAUCCUAAGGAACACCGGUGGCGAAGGCGGCUUACUGGGUCUCUACUGACGCUGAGGCACGAAAGCCAGGGUAGCAAACGGG